GACGAACUGCCCAACGUUGUUCGGAUUCAUUGGGCGUAAAGGGUGCGUAGGCGGCGCGGUAAGUCGGGUGUGAAAUCUCGGGGCUUAACUCCGAAACUGCAUUCGAUACUGCCGUGCUUGAGGACUGGAGAGGAGACUGGAAUUUACGGUGUAGCGGUGAAAUGCGUAGAUAUCGUAAGGAAGACCAGUGGCGAAGGCGGGUCUCUGGACAGUUCCUGACGCUGAGGCACGAAGGUCAGGGGAGCAAACGGG
rnacentral:rRNA from 1 species